UUUCCGUAGGUGAACCUGCGGAAGGAUCAUUAGUGAAUUGAAUAUGUUAGCGGACCUCUUCGGAGUCCCUAGCAUCAAAUCAUAUCCAUAACACCUGUGAACUGUAAGGCUGUCUUGAAAACGAAAGUGAUUAGAGCGCCUGCCCACUUUAUACAAACAUUAAAGUAACAAACGUAGUCUUAUUAUAAUCUAUAAAACUUUCAACAACGGAUCUCUUGGCUCUC
rnacentral:misc_RNA from 1 species